rnacentral:rRNA from 1 species
GAUGAACGCUGGCGGCGUGCCUAAUACAUGCAAGUCGAGCGAACGGACGAGAAGCUUGCUUCUCUGAUGUUAGCGGCGGACGGGUGAGUAACACGUGGAUAACCUACCUAUAAGACUGGGAUAACUUCGGGAAACCCGAGCUAAUACCGGAUGAUAUUUUGAACCGCAUGGUUCAAAAGUGAAAGACGGUCUUGCUGUCACUUAUAGAUGGAUCCGCGCUGCAUUAGCUAGUUGGUAAGGUAACGGCUUACCAAGGCAACGAUGCAUAGCCGACCUGAGAGGGUGAUCGGCCACACUGGAACUGAGACACGGUCCAGACUCCUACGGGAGGCAGCAGUAGGGAAUCUUCCGCAAUGGGCGAAAGCCUGACGGAGCAACGCCGCGUGAGUGAUGAAGGUCUUCGGAUCGUAAAACUCUGUUAUUAGGGAAGAACAUAUGUGUAAGUAACUGUGCACAUCUUGACGGUACCUAAUCAGAAAGCCACGGCUAACUACGUG